AGAGUUUGAUCCUGGCUCAGGAUGAACGCUGGCGGCGUGCCUAACACAUGCAAGUCGAGCGAGAAACCUGCAAUUGAAACUUCGGUAGAUUUUGCGGGCGGAAAGCGGCGGACGGGUGAGUAACGCGUAGGCAACCUGCCCUUUGCAGAGGGAUAGCAACGGGAAACUGUUAUUAAAACCUCAUAAUACCGACAUGUCAAAUGACAAGACGGUCAAAGAUUUAUCGGCAAAGGAUGGGCCUGCGUCUGAUUAGUUAGUUGGUAGGGUAACGGCCUACCAAGGCAGCGAUCAGUAGCCGACCUGAGAGGGUGAUCGGCCACAUUGGAACUGAGACACGGUCCAAACUCCUACGGGAGGCAGCAGUGGGGAAUAUUGCACAAUGGGCGAAAGCCUGAUGCAGCAACGCCGCGUGAGCGAUGAAGGCCUUCGGGUCGUAAAGCUCUGUCCUCAAGGAAGAUAAUGACGGUACUUGAGGAGGAAGCCCCGGCUAACUACGUGCCAGCAGCCGCGGUAAUACGUAGGGGGCGAGCGUUAUCCGGAAUUAUUGGGCGUAAAGAGUACGUAGGUGGUUUUGUAAGCGUGGGGUGAAAGACCGAGGCUUAACUUCGGUUAGCCUUGCGAACUGCAAGACUUGAGUGCAGGAGAGGAAAGUGGAAUUCCUAGUGUAGCGGUGAAAUGCGUAGAUAUUAGGAGGAACACCAGUGGCGAAGGCGGCUUUCUGGACUGUAACUGACACUGAGGUACGAAAGCGUGGGGAGCAAACAGGAUUAGAUACCCUGGUAGUCCACGCUGUAAAC
rnacentral:rRNA from 1 species